UUAGAAGUGCCGCCUAUAGCCAAUCGCUGAUAAGCGACCGAAGACCGUAUACGGCCCCGCAGGGUGGUGCGCGCGCGAGACAAGCGACAGGGCGCAGCAAAGCAGGCGAGGCGUCGGAAACAAUUGCACCACGCAUGCGCGCGAACGAAAAAAAAAGGGAAGAAAAAUUGAGAUGCGCGCACCGCGCUCAUAAUCCCCGGGGCGCGCGCGUGAAGGAAAAAAAAAACGGAGGCGCAAGCUGAGAAGUUUCGUGUUAGCCGCGCGGCCGCGCCAUCACGAGAUGUGCAGGCGACGGAGCUUUGAGUUCGGUAACUUUCACCUGUUCGUCAACGUAGCUACUUGGAAAGCGCUCAACUGCGUCUGCUGCGCGCUUUGCGCCUGCCGCUGUGUAACAUGUUCUCAUCAAUGGAUGUGGAAGGUGUGUAUCGAGGGCAAUGUAACACACCGCAAUGUCAGUGCGACGGAUCUUGGCGCGCCGUGAACAAUGAGCCUGCCGUGCCAUACCAGGCCGCUUGGUGUGCGUACUGCGGCCACAGCUCCCGUGCAACAUGUUCGAAUUGGAGAUGCCGUUCAUCAAAUGACAGGCACAGAACAAAGCUUGAAAGGACCAUGUGAAACACUUCAUACAGAAUUCCCCUCUCUACAAUCUGCAGCUACCAUCACAACUGAUGCAAGGUCUAGUACUGGUACUGAGACACUUGAGGCUUCCACGAGGUCAACCCCAGUUGCCACAACAGAUGACGCAUUAAGCACAGCAUCAACAUCAGCGAUGGUAACAGAUAAAUCCCGCCAAACCUCGUAGGGCAGCAUGUGUGCUAUCAUUGUGACUUUUUUGUGGUGCAUAUACCCCGUUUGCCUAUCACACGAAAACUUAUUACAGUGAUUCUAAGUCAUUGUUCUUGUGUAGCAUGUGCAAAACCAUGUUUGGUGUCAUUUUAAAACAUGCAAACAGGCAGCAUUUUAAAACAUGCAAACAAAAAACAGUUGUUGCUUCCCAGACCAGCCUACACAGUGACAGCAAUGUUGAAGAUACGUUGAGGCCCACUCCUCCUCCACCAGAAGAAAGCACUCAAAGUGACAGUGUAGUUGCUAGAUUAGCAGGACUCUGUAGGCGGCUGGAAGGACAACACAGAUGUCACAAGGUUGUUGUCGACGUUGUUGUUGAAGAGGUAAAGAAGAUUUUUUUAUGUGGCUGAAGUGCCAAUUGAUAUUG
rnacentral:lncRNA from 1 species